rnacentral:lncRNA from 1 species
UGUUUGAUAGGUUGAAUACUUAGAGAAUAAAUUAGCUAUGUAUUGUACAUGUUGAUAACUUGUAGUACAAGCUAAUAAUAUAGUGUACAUAUAGGAAAUUUAUUUUGGAAGUUAAGUCAUUUGUCUUGCAAAUUAAACAUGUAUUGGAGAUCCUAGAGAAUGUUGCGACAUAGCUUUUAGUUAGAUAGUAUAUAUGGAAGCAAGAAUGGAGUCUUUUUUACUUUUAUCAAUUCUUUUUUUGCUUCUAAUUUAAUUUCAAAGUCUCUAGUUUUUUAUCUUUUAGCAACAGUCAUUUUAGUUUCUUUAUAUAUAUAUAUAUAUAUAUAUAUAUAUAUAUUUGAAAAAAAUCUUAUUUAUUUAUGUAUUCAUCAAGUUCUUGUCCUUGAUACUGACCUAAGAAUGAUUGUCAAUAAAUUAAUUGUUAUAAUUUGUAUCAACAAAGCCUCUAUAAAGAUGGUUAUGAAUUCCAAAAUCAAUCUACAAAACAAACGUAUUUUAGUCCAUUUCUAUUAAACAAGAGAGAAAUUGGAACAAUUAGAGAUAUAAUUGAAUUAUGUAUUAAUAACCAAACAAGUUGCAAAUUUGUUCACAUAAUCUUUGGUAAAAAAUGUGUGAGAAAUUUAGAAGCAAACUAAACAUUAGAAGCUUUCAAGGUAGCAUUCUUUGAAAAAACUAAAACUAAAAUAGUAAUCUUUCUAUUGCCAUGUCCUUACUAUGCAAUCUAUCAACAUAACUAUAUAUUAUUUUUACUUUAUAUGUAUAAAACUAUCACUAAUAAAACAUGACUAAUCCUUGCCAAUUGAAAGAAAUGCAACUUCCCUAAAAUCCAAAAUCCUAACACCCAAGUAAUGCUCAAUAUCUUCAUAUAUUUUGAAAUUCUUAAGCUCCGCAUUGUUAAAGCCAUUUAUUUAAAACUUUACAAUUUAGUCAAGAAAAAUAAAUACUAAGAUGAUAGCUUUACCAAAUAACAUAAUAUUUCCUAAUAUUGGACAAUAGCAACAAACCUUCAAUAUGACAAACAAUACACUAAAUUGGAGAUGAUUAUAUAACAAAGGUCAAAACUUAUACAUUACUCCCUAUGUUGGUAACAACAACAACAAAAACAUCAUAGUCAUCUCAACUUAACAACAUGUGCCUAUCAAAAAGACAAGCAAAGAAAGGAAGAAAUAAGUAAGGCCAUUACAAAGACAAUAAACAAUAAUAAUAAGAAACCAUAAUAUAAGCAAUAAAAUCUCUACUUGCAAGAAAUUCAAAAGGUACACAUUAGCAAAUCUUUUGUCAAGUAAGUGCAACAAAAGAAAGCAUAGCUACAUAUAAUUCCAAUUUUUGGAAUAGCAUUAGGACUAGAACUCAUUGCAAUUAAAAAAUCCAAUUGUAGAUGUAGAUCCUUCACCAAUUGCUUAGGAAUCAACCUCACCAGCUACAUUGCUCUAGAGACAUUAUCCUAAAGCAAAUGAGAUAGGAACAAGAUGAAGAAAACAAAUGUAAAUAUGUACCUCUUCUUUCUUAUUAAUUAAGUGAGAGUGUCAUUGUGGUUAGUAAGAGCUUGAGAGCUUUAGUGCCUGAAUUCAUACAACUUGCCUGUGUUCAAAAUUUAGAGGAGACACCAUCGUUCGAACUUGAAGGGAUUUGAAAACACAUUUUAUUUUCAAAUCCUGCACGCCUGCUGAUCUUAGAUACGAUAAGUUUUUUAGUUCUACAAUUUGAGGUAAGCAAACUAUGCUCAGGUUCUCUGUUUUUCAUGUGCUGACAUGGUCUUAGUUUUUGCAACCUUGGUGGACAAGUUGUAAUUUAGGGUCAGGAGCAAUUUUUCUCAGUUGAACACUACCGGUGCGUUAGUGUUGCUGAGGAUUAAUACAAUCAGCAAGAUUUUGUAUGUAAGAAAUAAAAAAAAAAAAUAUAUAUAUAUAUAUAUAUAUUAUGUAUGCAAGUUUCCUCCAGUGGUUUUUCUCGGCACUCUAUCGCAGACUACAACUCAUGCUACUUUAUGUUUCAGAUCUUAAACCUCUUGUGCUGUCAAAAUUAUAAAAAUGUGAGAUACUGUCCAUAGAUAAUUUUCUCGCACACUAAGACAACGUCAGCCAAAUAAAUGUUCCAUGUCUUGGAAUGAUGGAUCUAGGAAUUCGUGUAUAACUUAUUUACUGUAAAUUUACGAAACAUUUCUGCUUAACAUCAGAACUCCAUCGUUGCUCGUUAUCUCUAUCAAGACUCCGAGACCAUGUAGCAUCCAAAAAAUCAAGAAAGGGAUUACUACACCGAGGAUGUCUUCGAUGAUUCCACACACACACCACUUAAGGCAAUGUCAAUUUGUUGAUACGUGUGUACAGAUCGGUUUUGUAAUGUGAUGACCUCCCUCGGAUCAAGAUGGCUACCGGUCAAACUCUACGGACUUUCACAGAACGGCAACUAUGAAAUCUCUGACGGCCAGGGAGUUAGAACAGGAUGCGAUAUCUGAAGCAGGCACAUAGCGAGAGCGCUGGAAGAAAACCUCCUCGGUCCAGACAGGGACGCAAGACAGCAUACAACAUAUACGGGAGCCGUUCGAAGGGGAUUGCCGAUUGUAACAAAGCACAGAAGCUGACACUUCUCGACUAGCACUCACGCGUUUCGAAAGAAAAAUUUCUAUCCAAGGGAGCCUUCUGCACAAACCAGCCACAAGGGCAACGAGCAAUCCGAUCCAGAGCCGUUUUGAAUUUGCCGAUCCGAACAGAGGCGGAGAAGCUUUCUAACGAGGAGACAUGAAGUCAGAAACGUCAGCACAAGACAUGUCUAUGGAUGUGGGAAUCUGAAAGGCAAAGAACGAUUAAUGGUUGCGAGUUGCGGUGUCACGAAGAAAGGACGCGUUAAGGACGUACACAGAACGUUCGGUGG